CUCCGGCGGCGCCAGCCCGCUCCCGCCGCUGCCAGUCCCUGUUCCCUGCUCGGUCCCUCACGCUUCCGCCGGGACACGGUCCACACCCCCCCGUCACGUGACCCCGAGCCAGCCUCACGCCAGCGGGGGCUGCCAUCUUGGAUUCGGACAGGUGUAUCCGAUCUCCUGUGAAAUGUUGAAAGGCAAACCUUCUGAAGAAGUCAAGAUGAAAUACCUCUGUUUUUGCCCAAGCAGAGAGGCAUGGGAAGCAGUAUGUGUGGUAUCGUCUCAGUCCAGCUCUGGGGGCUAGAGUUACAGAAAGACUAGGAUAAUGAUAAAGUGCUGCAAAUAUCCAGAGCAGUGUUAUACAGAUAUGAAGAUCCAGGACGGCUGCUGCUUUUACUUUCACGUCUUCCGAAGCAGGAGAAGCUGCAGGGUCACAGCAGUGGGAUGAUCAGAUGGCUCUUGUAGUGGGUAGCAGGAACCCAGGCAGCAGCGGAGGAUGUUGCAGCACCAGGGUUUUUCUAGAAGCAAGAAGAUGGCACUGUCUAGUUUCCCAUCUGUUGCCUGAUUACAUGCAAAUAGAAACAGCCGGCCUUGUGAGCAGAGAGAUACAGGAAGAAGAUGGGGAGUGCUGCUCUGCUGCGAUAGCCACUGGAAGAGAGCAACUGUCUGCUGCUGUCACAACCUCUCCUCUCCAGAGAGGUUGGCACGAAGCCCGGGCUACUUUGCCACCUCAUGCCUUUCCCCCCUCUUCUUAUCUAGCUGUGCCACAGCUUCCCAGGCUCCUGGGUUAGAUAGAUCAGCCCCACCCUUUGCACUUGGAGAGAUGCUUCCUUUCCCUAAACCCACGUAACUGCGUCCGUCUGGAGGCAGAAUAUAGGCCUGGACCCGUAGCAGGUAGAGUCUCUGCUUGCGGGUUUAGUAGAGGUAUGGCGAGUGGAAAGGGUGAAACAUAAUGACCUUUAUUUGAGGACUAGUUAGACUAAAAAUAUGUUUUUAGGGGACUAGAACAAGGAAAAAAAGCCUGCAGGUCAUGAUGUCUUUUCAAGAAAUCAAACAGCAUGGCAUAAUUAUAAGGUUUCAAUGGAAGAGAUGGUCAGAGAUGAUACUUGAGGAACAGGAGGUCAGAGGACGGUGAAUGACCGGCGGCUCAGAGCCCUGGGCAGGCGGAAGGACCUUUUCCCCUGCCAGGUAUGAGCCUGCAGGGACAAGUGGAGGUGAGGCACCUUGGAGGAACCGAAGCUUGAAAAAGGCUGUGGGGCCAGAUUCCCAAGUGCUUAGCACUGGGGAAAAAACUGUAUCUUUAGUACUUAGGGCUUCAACUUUGCCUCCCCGCAAAUCCUUGGCACCCCAAAUCCCGAGCAUUCCAUUUCUCUUCAUAUGGCCCUAUCCAGAGCUUUGACUUUGUCAUUCCUGAGGCUGUAUUCCCCCGCAGCCUCCUUCCUGGGCCCACAAACGGGUCCGUGUUCCCAGGUUUUUAUCCCUCUCUUAAGUAGCGGUUGAUUCCUGCAGGUGGUGUGAGAUGGCAGAUAGCGGAAGGAACAGAAGUUUUCUGGAAACACGAGCUCGGCAAAGCUCACCUGAGUCAAAGGCGAUGGGAAAGACAGGGAGCCAAAGGAGAAGGGUCCUCCUCCAGCUCCCCUUGAAGCUGGCGUUCGCAGGGCUCGGCUCCAGCGAGCAGGCCGGGAAGCGAGUCGCGGCCCGGGUACACACGGCAGAACGGGAGCAGCGAGGCAGUGUGCCCGACCCUGCCCCACCUCCGCCAGGGACUGCGCCCGUCCGGCUCCGCCGGCCCCGUGAAACCACAGCUGCCAGCCCGUGCCUGUGUCUGACAGAACUAGUCAUGCUGCGUGACCGGCACCAAAAACAACUACUUCAACACUUUGAUUUCUGUUCUCCUUUUUCCAGCUAUAUAUUUUUUAUUUUUUAACUCUUAAUUUGGCCUGGGAAGGGUUGCGGUGAGAUAACUUGAAUUUCAGAUGUCUGAGGGGUACACAGAACUGGAAGUUCACUCAGCAGUAAAACUUGUAGUAGAAUUUCCCACAACGGGUUUUUCUAGUUCAAAGGCGAACGGCGACUGCGAGGUUCGCUUUGCGUGGGGCAGA